CAGAGAUGUCAGGAGUAAUGGAUGUCAGGAGUGAUGGAUGUCAGGAGUAAUGGAUGUCAGAGAUGUCAGGAGUAAUGGAUGUCAGUGAUGUCAGGAGUAAUGGAUGUCAGAGAUGUCAGGAGUGAUGUAUGUCAGAGAUGUCAGGAGUAAUGGAUGUCAGAGAUGUCAGGAGUAAUGGAUGUCAGUGAUGUCAGGAGUAAUGGAUGUCAGAGAUGUCAGGAGUAAUGGAUGUCAGGAGUGAUGGAUGUCAGUGAUGUUAGAGAUG